rnacentral:rRNA from 1 species
AACGAACGCUGGCGGCAGGCUUAACACAUGCAAGUCGAAGGUGAAGCAGGACUUCGGUCCUGUGGAAACUGGCGCACGGGUGAGUAACGCGUGGGAACAUGCCCUUCACUGCGGAAUAGCCUCUGGAAACGGAGAGUAAUACCGCAUACGCCCUUCGGGGGAAAGAUUUAUCGGUGAGGGAUUGGCCCGCGUUGGAUUAGGUAGUUGGUGGGGUAACGGCCUACCAAGCCGACGAUCCAUAGCUGGUUUGAGAGGAUGAUCAGCCACACUGGGACUGAGACACGGCCCAGACUCCUACGGGAGGCAGCAGUGGGGAAUCUUAGACAAUGGGGGAAACCCUGAUCUAGCCAUGCCGCGUGUGUGAUGAAGGCCUUAGGGUCGUAAAGCACUUUCGCCUGUGAAGAUAAUGACGGUAGCAGGUAAAGAAACCCCGGCUAACUCCGUG